UAACGCGUGGGUAACCUGCCCUGUACACACGGAUAACAUACCGAAAGGUAUGCUAAUACGAGAUAAAAUAUUUUUAUCGCAUGGUAGAAAUAUCAAAGCUUUUGCGGUACAGGAUGGACCCGCGUCUGAUUAGCUAGUUGGUAAGGUAACGGCUUACCAAGGCGACGAUCAGUAGCCGACCUGAGAGGGUGAUCGGCCACAUUGGAACUGAGACACGGUCCAAACUCCUACGGGAGGCAGCAGUGGGGAAUAUUGCACAAUGGGCGAAAGCCUGAUGCAGCAACGCCGCGUGAGCGAUGAAGGCCUUCGGGUCGUAAAGCUCUGUCCUCAAGGAAGAUAAUGACGGUACUUGAGGAGGAAGCCCCGGCUAACUACGUGCCAGCAGCCGCGGUAAUACGUAGGGGGCUAGCGUUAUCCGGAAUUACUGGGCGUAAAGGGUGCGUAGGUGGUUUCUUAAGUCAGAGGUGAAAGGCUACGGCUCAACCGUAGUAAGCCUUUGAAACUGGGGAACUUGAGUGCAGGAGAGGAGAGUGGAAUUCCUAGUGUAGCGGUGAAAUGCGUAGAUAUUAGGAGGAACACCAGUUGCGAAGGCGGCUCUCUGGACUGUAACUGACACUGAGGCACGAAAGCGUGGGGAGCAAACAGGAUUAGAUACCCUGGUAGUCCACGCCGUAAACGAUGAGUACUAGCUGUCGGAGGGGAGAGGUAAGUGGAAUUCCUAGUGUAGCGGUGAAAUGCGUAGAUAUUAGGAGGAACACCAGUGGCGAAGGCGGCUUACUGGACUGUAACUGACGUUGAGGCUCGAAAGCGUGGGGAGCAAACAGGAUUAGAUACCCUGGUAGU
rnacentral:rRNA from 1 species